GACGUAGGGCGCGAGCGUUGUCCGGAUUUGAUUGGCGUAAGAGCUCGUAGCGGCUUGUUGCGUCGGUCUGUGAAAACCCGCAGCUCAACUGUGGGCUUGCAGCCGAUACGGGCAGGCUUGAGUUCGGUAGGGGAGACUGGAAUUCCUGGUGUAGCGGUGAAAUGCGCAGAUAUCAGGAGGAACACCGGUGGCGAAGGCGGAUCUCUGGGCCUUACCUGACGCUGAGACGCGAAAGCGUGGGGAGCAAACAG
rnacentral:rRNA from 1 species